UUGAUUCAUUUUUCUUGUGAGACUCAGAAUAUGCCACUAUUGUUAAACAAGAGUUUGGGUCCUCCGGCGGGCGCCUGGUUCCGGGACGCCGAGGCGCCGGGGCGGUCCCGCCGAAGCAACGUUGGGUAUGUUCACAGGGGUUUGGGAGUUGAUAACUCGGUAAUGAUCCCUCCGCUGGUUCACCAACGGAGA
rnacentral:misc_RNA from 1 species